AUUGAACGCUGGCGGCAGGCCUAACACAUGCAAGUCGAACGAGUGGCGGACGGGUGAGUAAUAUAUCGGAAAGUGCCCGGUAGAGGGGGAUAACUACUGGAAACGGUAGCUAAUACCGCAUACCAUCGGAUGUGCCCAGAUCGGAUUAGCUUGUUGGUGGGGUAACGGCUCACCAAGGCAACGAUCCCUAGCUGGUAUGAGAGGAUGACCAGCCACACUGGAACUUAGACACGGCCCAGACUCCUACGUGAGGGAGCGGUGGGGAAUUUUGGACAAUGGGGGAAAGCCUGAUGCAGCCAUCCCGCGUGUAUGAAGAAGGCCUUCGGGUUGUAAAGUACUUUCAUCGUGGAGGCGGUAUCCGCAGAAUAAGCACCGGCUAACUACGUGCCAGCAGCCGCGGUAAUAC
rnacentral:rRNA from 1 species